rnacentral:rRNA from 1 species
GCUUAGUAACACGUAGAUAAUCUGCCCUUAGGUCAGGGAUAAAGUCGGGAAACUGACCCUAAAACCUGAUAGGAAAUUUUUUCUGGAAUGGGAAAUUUCAUAAACUCGCGCCUAAGGAUGAGACUGCGGCUGAUUAGGUUGUUGGCGGGGUAAUAGCCCACCAAGCCGUUGAUCAGUAAGGGCUUUUAGCGAAGGGGCCCUAAGAGGGAGUCUGAGACACUACUCCCAGCCCUACGGGGUGCAGCAGUCGGGGAAAUUUUGCAAUGCGCGCAAGCGUGACAAAGCGAGCCAGAGUGUUUUUCAUUUUUUGAAAAACUUUUGCCAGCUGUAAAAAGGCCGGCGAAUAAGGACUGGGCAAGACCGGUGCCAGCCGCCGCGGUAAUCCCGGCAGUCCGAGUCGCAGCCACAAUUAUUGGGUCUAAAACAUCCGUAGCUUGCCUUGCAAGUCUGUUGUGAAAUCCGGCAUCUUAAGUGUCGGGCGCGCAAUAGAUACUGCUUGGCUAGAGACCGGAAGAUGUAAUGAGUACACCUGAGGUAGUGGUAAAAUACGUUAAUCUUUGGUGGACUAACAAUUGGCGAAGGCACGUUACAAGGACGGAUCUGACAGUGAGGGAUGAAGGCCAGGGGCGCAAAAUGGAUUAGAUACCCAUGUAGUCCUGGCAGUAAACACUGCACACUAAACAUCAGUACCUCCUCGAGAGGUAUUGGUGCUGUAGCGAAGGCGAAGAGUGUGCUACCUGGGAAGUAUAGCCGCAAGGCCGAAACUUAAAGGAAUUGGCGGGGGGGUACUACAACGGGUGACGCGUGCGGUUCAAUUAGAUUCUACACCGUGAACCUCACCAGGAUCGACUGCAGAAUGAAGGUCAGUCUGAAGGGCUUACCUGACACGCAGAGCGGAGAUGCAUGGCCGACGUCAGCCUGUGUCGUGAGAUGACCAGUUAAAUCUGGUAACAGGCGAGACCCGCGUGUAUAGUUGAUAUUCACACUAUACAGACUGCUGUGGUAACACAGAGGAAGGUGCGGGCUACGUUAGGUGAGUACGUCCCUAAUACCCUGGGCAACACGCGCGCGGCAAUGCUGUAUUCAAUGAGAUGCAACUCUGAAAAGAGAAGCUAAUCUCAUAAAGUACAACCUAGUUCAAAUUGAGGUUUGCAACCCAACCUCAUGACGAUGGAAUCCGUAGUAAUCGUUCGUUAGCAGCGAACGGUGAAUAAGUCCCUGCUCCUUGCACACACCGCCCGUCAAACCAACCGAGUUCUGCUUUGGCGAGGCUCGUUAGAGACGAACCUUAGUAAGACAAGGUAGGUUAAGUCGGCACAAGGUA